GUGGGGAAUAUUGGACAAUGGGCGAAAGCCUGAUCCAGCCAUGCCGCGUGCAGGAAGAAGGCCUUCGGGUUGUAAACUGCUUUUGUACGGAACGAAACGGUCCGGGUUAAUACCCUGGGCUAAUGACGGUACCGUAAGAAUAAGCACCGGCUAACUACGUGCCAGCAGCCGCGGUAAUACGUAGGGUGCAAGCGUUAAUCGGAAUUACUGGGCGUAAAGCGUGCGCAGGCGGUUUUGUAAGACAGGCGUGAAAUCCCCGGGCUCAACCUGGGAAUUGCGCUUGUGACUGCAAGGCUGGAGUGCGGCAGAGGGGGAUGGAAUUCCGCGUGUAGCAGUGAAAUGCGUAGAUAUGCGGAGGAACACCGAUGGCGAAGGCAAUCCCCUGGGCCUGCACUGACGCUCAUGCACGAAAGCGUGGGGAGCAAACAGGAUUAGAAACCAUGGUAGUCC
rnacentral:rRNA from 1 species